GGGGGUGUUUUGGAUUCGACAGGCGUGUCAGAACGGACAAAAAGCAUACCGCAGGUUACGUCUGCGAUACCAACGUAAAAUUAAAUUUAAACGCUAAAACGAAUAAAGUUGCCAAAGCUCCGGCUUUCGCGCUUGCCGCUUAAUUUAAUUUAAGCUGUCGGACCGUCCCCUCCGGCGGAGACGUAUCCGGCAUCAAAUAAGCCCGGCUACUUUUUUGCGAAAAGGAUGUAUCGCAAAAAGGACUUUUCAUCCUAUAAGGCUUCCGCCGUCCUGCCGACCGGGCGGAGGGAGCAACCUAAAACCAAAUCGGCUAAGUAUGUAGAAAGUGUCCGCUUUACCCGUUUGAACAGGGGUUCGAUUCCCCUCAUCUCCACCA
rnacentral:tmRNA from 1 species